GGUUGGCUACGUUCGGGAGGGAUAACCGCUGAAAGCAUCUAAGCGGGAAGCCUGCUCCAAGAUUAGGAUUCCGUACAGUCUUGAACUGUUGUAGCCCGCAUGUUGAACACGUGUUUGAUAGGCCGGAGGUGGAAGUCCCGUGAGGGGUGGAGCCGACCGGUACUAACGGGCGACGGCGACAUAAC
rnacentral:rRNA from 1 species